UCUGUGUCUUCUCCAUCUCUUGUCUCUGUGUCUCUCCCAGUGAAGGCCAUGCAGCUGACUGGAAUCAGGAAUACGAAUUACUCGGUAAAGCCAUUGAUCGGAGGUCCGUUUGGAUCUCUGUUCCAAGUCGAAACCGGAGAAGAUGGUUCUUUCCUCUGUCUCAGUCUUUCCAUCAAAAAAGAGAGGGUGCAAAAGGGGAUGAGAUUACUGAAGAUAUGAUUGCAAACAACAAAACAUUAGCGUUUAAUCUUGUUUCAGG